rnacentral:lncRNA from 1 species
GGGCUGGGACAAUGUUGAUAUUGAUGGUGGCAGCUGAACCCUGACUACCUAAGCUCACUGGACUUCACUCCACUGUCCCAUAGGCUCUAGUGCUCAUGGCUGGUGGUUUGAAUAUAGUUGGCCCAGGGAGUGGCACUAUUAGGUGGUGUGGCCUUGUAGGAGGAAGUGUGUCACUGUGGGGGUGGGCAACGAGACCCUCUUCCUAAUCACGUGGGAUCCAGUCUUCCAGCAGCCUUCAGAUGAAGAUGUAGAAUUCUCAGCUCUACCUGCACCAUGCAUGCCUUGAUGAUAAUGAACUGAACCUCUGAACCUAUAAGCCAGCCCCAGUUAAAUGUUUUUGUUUGUUUUUAAGAUUUAUUUAUUAUAUGCAAGUACACUGUAGCUGUCUUCAAACUCUCCAGAAGAGGGCAGAUCUUGUUACAUAUGGUUGUGAGCCACCAUGUGGUUGCUAGGAAUUGAACUCAGGACCUUCGGAAGAGCAGUCGGUGCUCUUAACCGGUGAGCCAUCUCUCCAGCCCAAAUGUUGUCCUUUUAAGAGUUGCCUUGGUCAUGAUGUCUGUUCACAGUAGUAAUUCUCCUCUGGACUGAUCCAGUCCCUCUGGUUCCCAGUGUACUGGCUUCAGGUUUCCAGCCUCAGACAUAACUCAGAUUGCAAGUUCUGCCACUCACCAUGGGCUCUAACAACAGACCUCAGUGUUACAACCAGCUUCAACCUAACAGGAUACCCGCAGGCCAAGGAAAUGCCACGCUGGUGUCUGUCACUGAUGUCGGCUGCCAGAGAAUGUCACACCAUGCAUUCAGUCACAGCUCAGCCUAUGCCUGAGGACCACAAAGGCACUUGGUGUCCCCAUAGGACAAGGACUGAACAAGAGUGGGCUGGCUUCUCUUGCCUUCAGUGUCCACAGCACACCCAACAGAGCCUGGAGAGGUUGAUGUAGCCAAGGCUCUUUGACAGUCCUCAGCUCCCACCAGUGGCCUCAAACUCAUGAUCCUCCUGCCACAACCUCCCAGGUGCUAUAAUUACACACAUGUGCCUCUGGGCCCGGCUUGCACAUUAAUGUCCAAGCAAAGUAUGCUUCCGUCAUUCUCCUGGGAGAUUUUGCAAUAAUAAAAUGAACUAUGACACAGCAUAACGCCAGCAGUGCUUUGCUGAAAGAAAGACUGAAUGUUCGGGUUGAGGCAGAGUGAGAGACAGAGACCAGGUGAGGGAGAGGUGCAGGCAUUGGAAGUGCAUUGGAAAAUUCAGACAUGAGAAGCCCUGUACGGAGUACAGGAUGCUUCAUGGUUUCCAGGUUCCACCUCCUGGAGUGAGCUUCAAGUUUGCAAGGGUCAAAUAACGUAACCACACACAGCUCAGUUCUUGCCUAAGGCCCCACCCCUGAGCUGGCUGCAGAGGUAGAGCAGGUAACAUGCUAAAGCCAAAGUAUUAAAAGCCCCGGUCACACAGAAGAACGUUGUACUGGCUGGUUUUGUGUGUCAACUUGACACCAGCUGGAGUUUUCACAGAGAAGGGAGCCUCCCUUGAGGAAAUGCCUCCAUGAGAUUCAGCUGUAAGGUUUUGUCUCAAUUAGUGAUCAAGGGGAGGGCCCAGCCCACUGUGGGUGGUGCCAUCCCUGGGCUGGUAGUCCUGGGUUCUAUAAGAAAGCAGGCUGAGAAAGCCAGGGGAAGCAAGCCAGCAAGUAACAUCCCUCCAUGGCCUCUGCAUCAGCUCCCGUU